rnacentral:rRNA from 1 species
UACGAAGGGGGCUAGCGUUGUUCGGAAUUACUGGGCGUAAAGGGCGCGUAGGCGGCUGUGCAAGUCAGGUGUGAAAGCCCUGGGCUCAACCCAGGAUGUGCACUUGAUACUGCACGGCUAGAGUGUCGGAGAGGAUGGUGGAAUUCCCAGUGUAGAGGUGAAAUUCGUAGAUAUUGGGAAGAACACCGGUGGCGAAGGCGACCAUCUGGACGACAACUGACGCUGAGGCGCGAAAAGCGUGGGGGAGCAAACAGG